CAUUUUGCAGUUACUGGGAGGGGGCUUGCUGUGGCCCCAUCUGGGAGAGUUGAGCCCUGGUCCAGCCCCGCGCAGGAAGGGAGGCUGUAACCGUGCCAGCCUGCUGCAGCUGCAGUGAUGUUUUCCUGUAUGAGACAAACAAAGUCGCCCGGAUCCAAAGCAUCAAUUAUGGCACCAUUAAGUUCUUCCACGUGAUCGUCUUUUCCUAUGUUAGCAAGGAACAUUUGAAAAGGAAAUUGGAAAAAUAAUUCCAUUUACCAUAGCAUUUAAGAGAGCUGAGGCUGUGGAGCCAGAUGGCUGCGUUCAGAGCUGGCGCUGCUGUUUACCAUGUGACCUUGGACAAGCUUCUCGCUUCAUUCAUACCACAGUUUGUUCGGCUAUUAGGUGGAGGAGCUGUAAGGGGGAGAGGAACUUUGCUGAAAGGCACAUCCUCCCUGCAGAGCUUGAAGAACAAUCUAACCAUGCUGGCAUGGGGCCCAUCCUACCUGCAAUGCCAAGUGUUGAUGGGAACCAUUUUCAGCAUCCUGCUGGUGACUGUCAUCCUUAUGGCAUUUUGUGUCUACAAGCCCAUUCGGCGUCGGUGACAGCCAGACAAGUUCUUCAAUGAGUAUUUGGGAAUAGGAUAAGUUGUGUUGCACACAGGCCAGUGGAGAAGUUGGAACCAAAACUUUCCUACUUGGAAAUGACCUUUGGUCUGGACAGUUGGUAAAUGCUAAAUGAAUUAGAAGAAAACAUGUACUAGACAUUAUUUUUUCCUAACACUGUAGCGCAAAUAAUUGGCCCCUGAGUCCGCUUCUCAGUGUUUCUGACUGUACUUGUUAAAAGUAAGACCUGAAAGCUCCAAAGGUCAGUGUAAAGAUGGAGUGUUCAUGAGAAAGAAAACAUGGUAACCUUGUGAGUGCCUGUAAGAACCACACUGUAAAGAACUCAUCAUUAAUGCUUGAAAAUGUUAUUAAGAAGGAGACUUACCAUGCAGACAUUCCCUAUUUAAGAACCAUUUGGUUACAGUGGGUUAAGAAUCACAGAUUUUUUUUUUUAAUCUCACCUGAGUUAGCCUAGAAUGCGCUGGUUGCAAAGUGGUGUCAGCUGUGGGGAUCUUGGGCCCUCGUUCCUCACCUGCAUCCUGCCCUGCACUCAGGUGCUCCCCCUGAAGUCAGGGUCACAUCAGGUAGACCUGUUACUAUAUGCACCUUUGGCCUGGAAUGCUCUGAAGUUGGACUGGAAAUGUUACUAGGUUGGCCUGUUACAAAAAGGACCCCAUCCUGCUUAAACACAUUGAUCUCCCUUGCCCUGCAUUUGAGUCUUUCUAGCCCACGGUCUGAAACUUGAGGCAGCUUUCCAGAUUUGGAAUGUAAAAGGCUCAGUGGGCACUCUGUUCAUCCCUGGGUGGGGAGGGCCCAGCCAACAGAAGUGCAUGUCCACUGUGCGGGCCAGUGUGUGUUUACACAAAUUUCAUCUCAGCUUUGAAAAUGCUGCUAUUAGUUUCCACUGUUGGUGAACUGGAUUUUUUCCUCCUAUUGAAAUGAUACUUUCAUACUUAUAAAGCUGUCGUCAAUAUUUAUUUCAAGGUGCUAGAUUUAAUUUUGUUAUUAAAUUGAAAUGCUUAUCUUGUGUUCAAGCACAGCACUGAUUUUAACAACCUGCAUUUAAUGUGAAGUAACCGAAGUAGGAUACUGUAACUGUGUAAGGAUUUUGUUUGUAAUCUUGUAACAUUGAACCAUUGAAAUGUUCAGUUCUUUGCUUUUGAGCAAAACGUCAAUUAAAACUAAAGUAAAAUCCUA